GAAAGUAAUUAAGGGCGUAUGGGGGAUGCCUAGGCUCUUGGAGGCUAAGAAGGACGUGGUAAGCUGCGAAAAGCUGCGGGGAUUUGCAAACGAGACUCGAUCCGCAGAUAUCCGAAUGGGACAACCCGGCAGGUAGAAGACCUGUCACACCGCGAGGUGAGCUAACCCUCUGAACUGAAACAUCUAAGUAGGAGGAGGAAAAGAAAGAAACAUCGAUUUCCAAAGUAGCGGCGAGCGAAAUGGAAGGAGCCCAAACCGAUAUUGUUACGGCAAUAUCGGGGUUGUAGGACUGCAAUAUUCAAUUAACAAUGAACUGGAAUGGUCUGGAAAGUCCAUCCAUAGAGAGUGAAAGGCUCGUACAGGUAAGUUUGUUAUGCGAAAGCAGUAUCCUGAGUAUGGCGGGACACGAGGAAUCCUGUCAGAAUCAGCCGGGACCACCCGGUAAGGCUAAAUACUCCCAAGAGACCGAUAGUGGACCAGUACUGUGAAGGAAAGGUGAAAAGAACCCCGAACAGGGGAGUGAAAUAGAACCUGAAACCAUACGCUUACAACCGGUCGGAGCAGCUUCGUGCUGUGACGGCGUGCCUAUUGAAUAAUGAGCCUACGAGUUACUAAUCACUAGCGAGGUUAAGUGCAAGGAUGCACGGAGCCGAAGCGAAAGCGAGUCUGAACAGGGCGUUUAGUUAGUGGUUGUAGACGCGAAACCUUGCGAUCUACCCUUGAGCAGGUUGAAGGUUGGGUAAAACCAACUGGAGGACCGAACGAAUAAGCGUUGAAAAGCUUCUCGAUGACUUGAGGGUAGGGGUGAAAGGCUAAUCAAGCUGGGAAAUAGCUCGUACUCCCCGAAAUGCCUUUAGGGGCAGCGUUGUAAUUAAGAGUCUACUGGAGGUAGAGCUACUGAUUGGAUGCGGGGGCUUCACCGCCUACCAAAUCCUGACAAACUCCGAAUGCCAGUAGUAUGAUUUACAGCAGUGAGUGACUGGGUGCUAAUGUCCAGUCGCAAAAGAGGAACAACUCAGACCAGCAACUAAGGUCCCGAAGAAUAUGCUAAGUUGAUCUAACGAUGUUUUGUUGCAGAGACAGCUAGGAUGUUAGCUUGGAAGCAGCUAUUCAUUCAAAGAGUGCGUAACAGCUCACUAGUCGAGCGACAGAGCGUGGAUAAUAAACGGGCAUCAAGCAUAUCACCGAAGUUCUGGGCGCGAGAGCGCGGUAGGGGAGCAUUCCAUUCAGCGUCGAAGCAGUUUCGUGAGGAAUUGUGGAGCGUAUGGAAAAGCAAAUGUAGGCAUGAGUAACGAUAAUGCGGGAGAGUAACCCGCACACCGCAAGACCAAGGUUUCCUGAUCAACGCUAAUCGGAUCAGGGUUAGUCGGGUCCUAAGGGUAAGCCGAACGGCGAUCUCGAUGGAUAAUCGGUUAAUAUUCCGAUACUAACAUAUACCUCGAUGGAGAGACGAAGGAACGUAAGUGCCGCCACCUGACGGAAUAGGUGGUUAAAGGGCGUAGAUAUAGGGGCAGAUUAAGAGUUAGUCCUUGCUGAAACCUGACAGUACAGAGAGCCUACGGGCAAUUUGAUAGUGCACCCAAGUCGACUUCCGAGAAAAUCUUCUAAGUUAUAGUAUAUGUUACCCGUACCGUAAACCGACACAGGUGGUCGAGGAGAGUAUCCUAAGGUGCUCGAGUGAAUCACGGUUAAGGAACUAGGCAAAUUAACCCCGUAACUUCGGGAAAAGGGGUCCCUAUGAAAGUAGGGCGCAGCGAAGAGGUCCAGGCGACUGUUUAUCAAAAACACAGGGCUCUGCAAAUUCGAAAGAAGACGUAUAGGGCCUGACACCUGCCCGGUGCUGGAAGGUUAAGAGGGGAUGUCAUCGCAAGAGAAGCAUUGAAUCGAAGCCCCAGUAAACGGCGGCCGUAACUAUAACGGUCCUAAGGUAGCGAAAUUCCUUGUCGGGUAAGUUCCGAC
rnacentral:rRNA from 1 species